GUCUCUUCGGGGAUGAUUAAACCGGCGCACGGGUGAGUAACACGUGAGUGACCUGCCUUUUAGACUGGAACAACUUACCGAAAGGUGAGCUAAUGCCGGAUGAGUUAUAUAAGUGCAUGUUUAUAUAGGAAAAGUUGGGGAGACCUGACGCUGAAAGAUGGACUCGCGUCCCAUUAGCUAGUUGGUAGGGUAAUGGCCUACCAAGGCGACGAUGGGUAGCCGGCCUGAGAGGGUGGCCGGCCACACUGGGACUGAGACACGGCCCAGACUCCUACGGGAGGCAGCAGUGGGGAAUUUUGCGCAAUGCUCGUAAGAGUGACGCAGCGACGCCGCGUGAAUGACGAAGGCCUUCGGGUCGUAAAGUUCUUUCGACAGGGAAGAAAAUGCCUAUAAGUAACUGUGUAUGUAUUGACGGUACCUGUAUAAGCAGCCCCGGCUAACUCCGUGCCAGCAGCCGCGGUAAUACGGAGGGGGCGAGCGUUGUUCGGAGUGACUGGGUGUAAAGAGCACGUAGGCGGUGUUGUAAGUCAUUAGUCAAAGACUAGAGCUCAACUUUAGUAAGGCUAGUGAUACUAUAAUACUAGAGUAUCAGAGAGGAUUGCAGAAUUCCUGGUGUAGCGGUGAAAUGCGUAGAUAUCAGGAGGAAUACCGUUAGCGAAGGCGGCAAUCUGGCUGGAAACUGACGCUGAGGUGCGAAAGCGUGGGUAGCAAACAGGAUUAGAUACCCUGGUAGUCCACGCUGUAAACGAUGGAUGCUAAGUGUUGGGCUUUUAAGU
rnacentral:rRNA from 1 species